rnacentral:rRNA from 1 species
UACGUAGGCAGCGAGCGUUGUUCGGAAUUACUGGGCGUAAAGAGUGUGUAGGCGGCGCUCUAAGUCCGGUGUGAAAUCUCUCGGCUUAACUGGGAGGGUGCGCCGGAAACUGGAGCGCUCGAACGUGGGAGAGGAAAGCGGAAUUCCUGGUGUAGCGGUGAAAUGCGUAGAUAUCAGGAGGAACACCUGCGGUGUAGACGGCUUUCUGGACCAUUGUUGACGCUGAGACACGAAAGCGUGGGUAGCAAACAGG